AGUGAACGCUGGCGGUAGGCCUAACACAUGCAAGUCGAACGGCAGCACAGUAAGAGCUUGCUCUUACGGGUGGCGAGUGGCGGACGGGUGAGGAAUACAUCGGAAUCUACUUUUUCGUGGGGGAUAACGUAGGGAAACUUACGCUAAUACCGCAUACGACCUACGGGUGAAAGCAGGGGAUCUUCGGACCUUGCGCGAUUGAAUGAGCCGAUGUCGGAUUAGCUAGUUGGCGGGGUAAAGGCCCACCAGGGCGACGAUCCGUAGCUGGUCUGAGAGGAUGAUCAGCCGCACUGGAACUGAGACACGGUCCAGACUCCUACGGGAGGCAGCAGUGGGGAAUAUUGGACAAUGGGCGCAAGCCUGAUCCAGCCAUACCGCGUGGGUGAAGAAGGCCUUCGGGUUGUAAAGCCCUUUUGUUGGGAAAGAAAAGCAGCAGGUUAAUACCCCGCUGUUCCGACGGUACCCAAAGAAUAAGCACCGGCUAACUUCGUG
rnacentral:rRNA from 1 species